CCUACGGGAGGCAGCAGUGGGGAAUAUUGGACAAUGGGCGAAAGCCUGAUCCAGCAAUGCCGCGUGAGUGAUGAAGGCCUUAGGGUUGUAAAGCUCUUUUACCAGGGAUGAUAAUGACAGUACCUGGAGAAUAAGCUCCGGCUAACUCCGUGCCAGCAGCCGCGGUAAUACGGAGGGAGCUAGCGUUGUUCGGAAUUACUGGGCGUAAAGCGCGCGUAGGCGGUUACUCAAGUCAGAGGUGAAAGCCCGGAGCUCAACUCCGGAACUGCCUUUGAAACUAGGUGACUAGAAUCUUGGAGAGGCGAGUGGAAUUCCGAGUGUAGAGGUGAAAUUCGUAGAUAUUCGGAAGAACACCAGUGGCGAAGGCGACUCGCUGGACAAGUAUUGACGCUGAGGUGCGAAAGCGUGGGGAGCAAACAGGAUUAGAUACCCUAGUAGUC
rnacentral:rRNA from 1 species